rnacentral:rRNA from 2 species
CAGCCGCCGCGGUAAAACCAGCACCUCAAGUGGUCAGGAUGAUUAUUGGGCCUAAAGCAUCCGUAGCCUGCUUUGUUAGUUUUCGGUUAAAUCCAUACGCUUAACGUAUGGGCUGCCGGGAAUACUGCAAAGCUAGGGAGUGGGAGAGGUAGACGGUACUCGGUAGGAAGGGGUAAAAUCCUUUGAUCUAUUGAUGACCACCUGUGGCGAAGGCGGUCUACCAGGACACGUCCGACGGUGAGGGAUGAAAGCUGGGGGAGCAAACCGGAUUAGAUACCCGGGUAGUCCCAGCUGUAAACUAUGCAAACUCGGUGAUGCAUUGGCUUGGUGCCAAUGCAGUGCCGCAGGGAAGCCGUUAAGUUUGCCGCCUGGGAAGUACGUACGCAAGUAUGAAACUUAAAGGAAUUGGCGGGGGAGCAC